AGUCUUGCCUGCUUCACAGAGUUUGCACGUUGCAGAUUUGCAGUGGAAGCUGUGAGUAAAUUUGAUUCCCUCACAGAAGUACAUUUUAUUCUUCUGGGCCACCCAGAAUCUGUCUAUUACUCUAAAUGUAGAGAGGCCUAUCUUUAUAAAGAAAACUGUUGGUGUCAGAGUUAUUUACAGAGCAUGUGAAACUUUAACUUGUCACUUUGUGGUUUGUAAACCUGUUCUUUGAAUUGCCUAUAAUUUCCCCUUUGUGUCUGCCUUUUUAGGUUUUACCCUUUAGUACCAGAAACAAUUCAAUUAGGGAAGACAAAAAAGGAUGAAACCAACAUUUAUCGGUUUUAACAUUUUGCUAUCUAGUACCUGGAAUCGUGAUUAUACAACAGAGGAAGAGCUCAGUAAAUAUUUGUUGUUGAUCAACUUUGUAGAUUUAUUAAAAGCUUCAGAAUAAGGAAAAAUGCUGAGAUUAAUGUUUGCAGGGUCUUUUGAUACCAUUUCUAAUGUCUACAAUAUUGGCAAUUUUUGAGAGAAAAUAAGAACUUGGCUUUGUCAACUAUGCAUUCAUCAAUUUAACAACUGUAUCUUUGAAUAGUAAUUCGUAACUUUUUAGCAAUGUGAAUGAUGCUAUCACUGGCGGUAAAUGGGGCCAUGGAAACACUCUGGGAGGAGGCAGCCAAAUCUGUCUUUGUAAAUCAGAGAAGCCUUCAUAAAAAAAGCCUUGAAAGAUGAGUAGUAAUGAGUCAAGUAGACAAGGGAGAGAAAAGCAUUUUGGAAAAGUCCAAAGGCAUGUUAAGUGGGAAUGAUCAUGGCAUGAUGAGAACAUUGCAAGUAAUUUAGUAUGUUUGGAGUGUAAGAUGCCUGUGGGGAAAAGAGGAGCCAGUCAUGGAAAGUGGAAAUGUCAUGUUUAAAAGUUUAGGCUCUAUCCUGUGGGUGAUAGUCAUUGACAGAUGAUAAUAAGGAGAAUGGCAUGAACAGAUUAGAGUUUCAGAAGGAUACUUAGGCAACACUGCAUGCUGCUGAUGGACUGGGGGGCAAGAGGGAGACCAGCUGGAUAAAUAAUAUAGGAGCCAAGGUGAUUAAUGUGACAGGGACAGUAGAGGCUGAAAGGAGGUUGUGAGCUUGAUCUGAUUGGUUGUAGAAGGUGGGGGAGGAGAAGUCUUGGCCAUUUGGUACCGGGUUAACUCAUCUCUGGUAAUGGAAGGCAGAGACAUUUGUGUAAAUGAAAUAUAGAAGGAGAUCAAAAUUUUCCCCACUCAACAUUCUACUAAUUGUGCAGAUUUAAGAGUCUCUCCCCGCCCCCAACCCCCCAACCCCCAUCUCUCCUGGAAUGGUUAAUGAGUAAUGAAGUGGA
rnacentral:lncRNA from 1 species